UGCCUUCUCCAUUGACUACUACUAUUGAAGUCUACAAUAUUCCAAUCAAUUUUGUAGCAUUCCGUGUACUAUAUGAGUUGUUUUCUUCAUGCAUGCAUGAUGGGAGCUGGUAGCUUGAUCGAUUUGCCAAGACUGUAAUAACACGAUUCCCAAACAUGAUCAAGAGAUUUGUUUCAGUAUAUAGAUAUCCCCAACACUACAUUUUUAUUUCAUUCGAAUCCUAUAUAUCUGAUGAUGAUGCAGGUGAUUUUAUGCUUUUGGUCGGGCUUCCUUUG
rnacentral:lncRNA from 1 species